rnacentral:sRNA from 1 species
GGUCUCUGAAACUUGAUAGUUGAACUUUCACGCUUGUGAAAUACCAACUUUUUGUCAAAUGUUCUGAAUAGUCGCUGGGCAACCAGAGAUUGAAUGCUGCUGCAUUCGUUUGAGGGACACUAUAUAUACUGGCAUCGCAAUGACUAGAAAUGUGGAUGUACCUUGACUCUCAAGUAGCACCCUUGUGAUCGCUGAAGAACAAUCAUGGCUAAAUUCUUAGUCCUUGCUUUGGUCAUAGCUGCAGUUGUGUUAGAGUCAGCGCAUGCCGCCUGUCCUACCUGUACUUUCCCCACCUCA